rnacentral:rRNA from 1 species
AGCGAACGCUGGCGGCAGGCUUAACACAUGCAAGUCGAGCGGGCACUUUCGGGUGUCAGCGGCGGACGGGUGAGUAACGCGUGGGAACGUGCCCUCUGGUUCGGAAUAACUCAGGGAAACUUGAGCUAAUACCGGAUACGCCCUUUUGGGGAAAGGCUGUCGGCCGGAGGAUCGGCCCGCGUCUGAUUAGCUAGUUGGUGAGGUAACGGCUCACCAAGGCGACGAUCAGUAGCUGGUCUGAGAGGAUGAUCAGCCACACUGGGACUGAGACACGGCCCAGACUCCUACGGGAGGCAGCAGUGGGGAAUAUUGGACAAUGGGCGCAAGCCUGAUCCAGCCAUGCCGCGUGAGUGAUGAAGGCCUUAGGGUUGUAAAGCUCUUUUAUCCGGGACGAUAAUGACGGUACCGGAGGAAUAAGCCCCGGCUAACUUCGUG